UAAGCGCUGACUGCAGAGAAUCACGGGCCUGAACUCAUUUACAGCGAGAAUACAUCACAUUGAGUUGGAAAGUAGACACAGCUCAUUUUAGUAAUCUACAUCACAGGAAUAUAUGGCCAAAGGCUUUCCACAAGAUUGCGAAACCUGGCUGCAGGGAUUUUACACAAGAGCAUCAGUGAGAUCGGGCACCGAUGUUGGACAAUAAGGCCUCACAGUCGUUCCAGUUAAUCCCAGAGGAUGGAGUUGAGGUCAGAGCGCUGUGCAGAUUUCAGAUCAGUGAGGGUUUUUCCCCCCCACUUGUGCUCCAGUUGGCUGGUCUCCACAGAGCUUGAAGGAAAGUCACAACAUUCGG